GACGAACGCUGGCGGCGUGCUUAACACAUGCAAGUCGAACGGAAAGGCCCUGCUCUUGUGGGGUGCUCGAGUGGCGAACGGGUGAGUAACACGUGAGUAACCUGCCCUUGACUUUGGGAUAACUUCAGGAAACUGGGGCUAAUAUCGGAUAGGAGCUCCUGCUCCGUGGUGGGGGUUGGAAAGUUUCGGCGGUUGGGGCUGGACUCGCGGCUUAUCAGCUUGUUGGUGGGGUAGUGGCUUACCAAGGCUUUGACGGGUAGCCGGCCUGAGAGGGUGACCGGCCACAGUGGGACUGGGAUACGGGCAAGACUCCUACGGGAGGCAGCAGUGAGGAAUAUUGCACAAUGGGCGGAAGCCUGAUGCAGCAACGCCGCAUGCGGGAUGACGGCCUUCGGGGUGUAAACCGCUUUCGCCUGUGACGAAGCGUGAGUGACGGUAAUGGGUAAAGAAGCACCGGCUAACUACGUG
rnacentral:rRNA from 1 species